GAUUACAGAGGAUGCUGCUGUCAGCUAGACUUGUCCCUGCAGACAGCACAAACCUCCAAAUAUUUCAAAUAGAAAUUCCUGGCCAGAAGGCUAGUCGGUGAUAAGAACUAUGUUUAAAGGCCAAAAUAGAACAAAGCUAACCUCCUUCAUUGCAAACGCACAAGAUGCCAUUUAGAAAAACAUUGAUGCAAUCACCCUGGCCCUGUUAAAUAAGGGGACCCUAAUGUGGCCCGCGA
rnacentral:lncRNA from 1 species